GCCUCUAUGGCGCAGUGGUAACGCGUCGCACUUGUAUGGACGAAAGUCCAAGCAAUGCGAAGAUCCCUAGUUCAGUUAGUCGACCCGCCGAGAUUGGUGCUGAGCAGUUCAAUCUAACAACAAUUAGAUUCUGGGUGGAGGCA
rnacentral:tRNA from 1 species